CCGGAAGCGUCGCAGCGCUACUUUGGCCCUGAAGCUGUUGGCGCCGGGAUAGAGCUGGGGUCGCAGCAUCGCCAUGGCAGCGCUGAGACGGCACGGAGACAUGGUCUGGCUUUACUGAUCACAGAAAUUGCCCAGGCCGGAGCCAGCAAGGCUGGAUUAGCACCUCCACCCCAUGGCGCCAGCUCCCCUGAUGGCGUGCUCCCUCCAUCACACACGGCUGCCUUCUGCAUCGUCACCGCCGGAUUCCUGUUUGAACCCUUCUACCAGGCAGGCUUCCUGUGCUCAUGUUCGUGGAGAAAGUUCUGAGGAGGCUUUUCCCUAGUGUUCCCCGUGGCCAAGAAAAGAGGGCACCCGUGGCUCCAGCUUCUGGAAACCCAGCCGAGAGGGUGGCCACUACGGACCUCAGGGGCAGGAGUGCCCCCACCUUGACAGGUGGAGACUCCAAGGUCCCUCCUCGAAGGCGGCUCUACACGGCGAGUUUGCCUCCUGAGGGGUACGUCCCAGCCCCCCCAGAGCCGCAGGCCAGCCCGGCCUCCGAGGACAGCUCGGGCAGCGAUGACGCGGGAAAAGGAUGCCCCCUCUCAGAUCAGGAUUUUCACGAUCAACCAAAGAGAAGAAGAGCUAGAAAGCAUAAAUCAAAGACAAAUUUUAAAGAUCCCAAUAAUAUUCAUGGAGAACAAGAAGAAUUAGAGAAACAGCAGAGUCUUUUGCAAGAAAAAUUGCAGCCACAGUGCACAGAUGGCCCCACCAUCAGCAGAAAUAAAAAAAGGAAACUGAAAAAGAAACAGCAAAUUAAAAGGAAAAAAGCAGCCGGCGUGAUCACCAAAGCUUCUGGCGUCAACUUCCUGUACCAGCCUGAGCAGAGCGACAGCGAACGCGACGUCGAGCAGCAAAGUGAUGGCGAGGACGGACCAGACGCCCGCGAGGGGGAUGGCGCAGACGCCCGCGGGCACUGCAGUACAGACACCGGUGAGGAAAACCAUAAAGACAGCAAUGAGGAAGGUGUUAAAAGUAUCAGUGAAAAGGCGGCUGGUAUCCUGAAUUUUCUGAAGUCAACACAAGAAAUUUAUUUUUAUGACGGUAUCUGCCAGGAUCCAGGCUCGGCCGUCCUCCUGGAAACCACUCAGGAGCUAUUUAAGCAUCUUGACAGUCACGGCCUGUCCCCCUCAGAUGUGCUCCUGCUGGAUCACAUGAAAAGCCUGUUACUUCUGCAAGAUACCCAAGGGCUGAAACGAGCCCUCGAAAUGUUCCCGGAACGCUGCACACUGCCGGCAGGCGCUGGACACGUGUUGAGACGCAUGAACGAAAAGGGGCCUGCCGAUUUCUUUGUGGGAAUGUCAAAGUAGCCACGAUGGCGGUCCCACCAGAAAGCUCGAAAGCUCGGGCUGCACCCCGGAGCCCAGACAUCCCAUCAGGAGAAAGGACAGGCGAGUGCAGGGAGGCGCCUCCGAGGUCGGCCUCAGAGACCUGGGCAGGCGAAAGCCCGCCCUUGGGCACGGCGUCCCGGUGCAGAGACGAAGACGGGAUGAGGACGUGAAACACGUCAUGUACGCACCGGAGCCGCAGCCGGCAGAGAAAGAAGUCCGCAGGAGGGGACAUUCUUGCAGCCGAGGACAAAUGCGCAGGGAUGGAGCGUUUCAGGUGCCAUGUGGUGGGAGCAGGUGGUGGCUGUGGACAGGCAGGAGAGAGGCCUGCCUGGCCGUGGUGCCAGCCCCGGUGCAAAGUCGAGCCAAGGCACGAGCAAGACCCCAGCUGUCGGGUUGAGACCAGAGUGAAGUGUCCGGAGUGGGAGGCCAGGGGCUUUGAUUGUGCUCUGGCUGAAAGAGGCCGUCCGGAGGUGUGGUAGGUUCAGGUCGGCUGUGCAGGUGGAACCCACAGCAUCGCCGGCCGACCAGGCGUGGGGCCUGCACCCCCGGAAGAGCCUGGUGGCCGGUCAUGAGCUGUGACACUCGGGGUGAGACAGGGACCCUUGGGAGCCAGGGCCACAUGCUGGCUGGACACCCAGCUGGGGGACUUAGGAUGAGGCCCUUCACGGAACAGAGAGGGUGGAGGCUGGAGACCCCGCCCAGGGCCACCAUGGGAGGAGGCCAGGGGGAGCCUGAAGGGAGGGGUUUCAAGCUAGCAGCAUCACAGCGGAGGAGAGGCUGACAGACCCCAGGGCCCUUCUGCUGAGGAGCCGGGCUCGCGGGGCGCGGGGCGGCCAUAGCUUCCUCGGAGAGGUCAAUCCAGGGUCCGCAUUCAUUGUUGGUUGUCCUAUACUGAGCAUUUAACUAAUUUCAAUUUCCAGAAGUUGUUUCUCAAAUUGUGAAAAGCCAGUUUUAUUAAAUUAAAUAUGAAGUUUUUGUGAGACAAACAUAAGUCACUUAAAAAUGUUUUAAUUUGGGGGGCACCUGGGUGACUCAGUCAGUUGAGUAUCUGACUCU